rnacentral:rRNA from 1 species
UACGUAGGGUGCGAGCGUUAAUCGGAAUUACUGGGCGUAAAGCGUGCGUAGGCGGUUUCAUAAGCUUGAUGUGAAAGCCCCGGGCUCAACCUGGGAAUGGCAUUGAGGACUGUGGAGCUAGAGUGCGGCAGAGGGAGGUGGAAUUCCACGUGUAGCAGUGAAAUGCGUAGAGAUGUGGAGGAACACCGAUGGCGAAGGCAGCCUCCUGGGCCGACACUGACGCUGAGGAGCGAAAGCGUGGGGAGCGAACAGG